AGUACCGGUUUUCUCUGCUCCCAACUGGCGUUUCUUUUUUCCAGCUGACAGAACCGUGCGACACAGUCCGUUGGACGGAAACGCACAUCAGGAUCUCAUAAUUUAAUGCGGUGCAGCCAGCGUGCAUCGCGCUCGGGGAAUACUGUCAUUUCUCUAAUAACGAUUUAACGUUGCGCGACUUUCGCCUGGCGCAAAGUGAAAAGUUCUUGUUCGCGAAAGAGCAACACCGUUGUUCCAAAAAUGAGCGUGCACGAGUCGCGGAGAAUUCGGGCUAGAAUCUCGAUCCAUUAAAUAAUUCAUUUGAAAAUGUUCCAUCGAGCGCUCGUUGACAAAUUGAUAACGUUCCCGGUAUUUGGUGACAGGAAUAUUCUUUUGCAAAAGAAAAGGCAUUACCGUUUCGCCAAACGAUUGGUGAUAGAUAAAACUUAAUUCGGAUUAGUCAAAUUAAUUGAAUCUAAAUCGUUUGAAUUUAAGUAACUUGAAAUAUUGAAUUAUAUUUUCAAAUCGAGAAAUAGAUCAAAGAAUCUGUAUUUUAUUUAAAAUUUGCAACGAUAUUUUUAAGUGAAUAACAGUUUCUUAUUGGAAAAGAAGUUUCGAGUUGCUUAAAUUCAAGUCACCUGACUGUAGUAACCGGAACGAGGCUUCCCGAGAGAGGAGGAAAACAGUGUUUCAACUAUAAAAUGACAGGGGAUUUUGUUAGUGCAAAACCGCUGGAGGAAGAAAUACGAGGAAAUAAAGUGCAGAAACGCUGCUAAAAAUUGGAAAAUCGUGAUAGCGACGACAGGGAUUUCAGUUUUACAGACCUUCUUUGUGAAUUCACGAAUAGAAUAUGAGUGCCGACUGAUCGUGGGACCAAGCUGAGAAAAAAAUGGAACAGAAUAGUUGAAAAGAAACUCGAAUAACAUCUCACCAUUUGCCGGCUUAAUUUCUUAGCUGCGACACACAGGGUUAGGCGUACGCUCAAUGAAGAUUAGUUUUUUAGCGUCCCCUGAGAAAGGACUUGUUCCCAUCUUUACCCAGCGCCGUUAGAAAGUUUCCAGACGUCGCAAUAACGUGCAUUCCUUUACGAUUCAUAAAGUGUCGUUAUUUCUAUUUGCGGACGGGGAAUUUUACAUUUCGCGUGAUCAGCGACAUCACUAACUCGACAUCUAUGUUCGCUUGUUGUCAUCAAAUGGAUUUCAGAAUUAAAUUGAAAUCUGCCAGUAAUUAUGUCAUGUAAUCCGAUGGUUUUGGCAGUUUUGAAAAAAGAUAAUAUGAAGCUGAAAAGCUUAGCAGCUUAUUUAUGGAGAUACUUCAAAUAAAUGGUAGUAUACGAUGUAUGAUGUGGUUUAACGGUACGUUUGAGUUAAGCUAUUUCAGAUACGACGUAAUAUAUGAACAUGCAGAUGUCGUUUUUAAUGAUCGUUUGCUGAUUUAAGAAUAAAAU